rnacentral:rRNA from 1 species
GAUGAACGCUGGCGGCGUGCCUAACACAUGCAAGUCGAGCGAUUCUCCUCGGAGAAGAGCGGCGGACGGGUGAGUAACGCGUGGGUAACCUGCCCUGUACACACGGAUAACAUACCGAAAGGUAUGCUAAUACGAGAUAAUAUGCUUUUAUCGCAUGGUAGAAGUAUCAAAGCUCCGGCGGUACAGGAUGGACCUGCGUCUGAUUAGCUAGUUGGUAAGGUAACGGCUUACCAAGGCGACGAUCAGUAGCCGACCUGAGAGGGCGAUCGGCCACAUUGGAACUGAGACACGGUCCAAACUCCUACGGGAGGCAGCAGUGGGGAAUAUUGCACAAUGGGCGAAAGCCUGAUGCAGCAACGCCGCGUGAGCGAUGAAGGACUUCGGGUCGUAAAGCUCUGUCCUCAAGGAAGAUAAUGACGGUACUUGAGGAGGAAGCCCCGGCUAACUACGUGCCAGCCGCCGCGGUAA